GAUUAACGCUAGCGGCAGGCCUAAUACAUGCAAGUCGAGGGGCAGCAGGGUGUAGCAAUACAUCGCUGGCGACCGGCGCACGGGUGCGUAACACGUAUGCAACCUACCUUUAACUGGGGAAUAGCCCUCCGAAAGGAGGAUUAACACCGCAUAACAUCACGAGACGGCAUCGCCUUGUGAUCAAACCUCCGGGGGUUAAAGAUGGGCAUGCGUCCGAUUAGCUAGUUGGCGGGGUAACGGCCCACCAAGGCGACGAUCGGUAGGGGGUCUGAGAGGAUGAUCCCCCACACUGGUACUGAGACACGGACCAGACUCCUACGGGAGGCAGCAGUAAGGAAUAUUGGACAAUGGUCGCAAGACUGAUCCAGCCAUGCCGCGUGCAGGAUGAACGAUCUAUGAUCUGUAAACUGCUUUUGUUCGGGAAUAAACCCCUUCACGUGUGGAGGGCUGAAUGUACCGAAAGAAUAAGGGUCGGCUAACUUCGUGCCAGCAGCCGCGGUAAGACGAAGGACCCAAGCGUUAUCCGGAUUUAUUGGGUUUAAAGGGUGCGUAGGCGGGUUGUUAGGUCAGUGGUGAAAGCCUAGAGCUUAACUCUAGAAUUGCCAUUGAUACUGACGAUCUUGAGGAUAGUUGAGGUGGGCGGAAUGUAUCAUGUAGCGGUGAAAUGCUUAGAGAUGAUACAGAACACCGAUUGCGAAGGCAGCUCACUAAGCUAUUUCUGACGCUGAGGCACGAAAGCGUGGGGAUCAAACAGGAUUAGAUACCCUGGUAGUCCACGCCGUAAACGAUAAUCACUAGAUGUUGGUUUGACA
rnacentral:rRNA from 1 species